GACGUAGGGCGCGAGCGUUGUCCGGAUUUAUUGGGCGUAAAGAGCUCGUAGGCGGCUCGUCGCGUCGACCGUGAAAACCCGCGGCUUAACCGCGGGCUUGCGGUUGAUACGGGCGGGCUAGAGUUCGGUAGGGGUAAGCGGAAUUCCUGGUGUAGCGGUGAAAUGCGCAGAUAUCAGGAGGAACACCGACGGCGAAGGCAGCUUACUGGGCCGAUACUGACGCUGAGGAGCGAAAGCGUGGGGAGCGAACAGG
rnacentral:rRNA from 1 species